rnacentral:misc_RNA from 1 species
GUAUAAUACAGUGAGGGCCUAAAAUAAUUGAGAAACAGAAUACAACAAUUUCAUAUUAACAAAGUGACAUCGUUCGAUAACCCAAAAUUACACAAACAGAUUCUGAAAUUAAACAAGAAACAACAAUUUCAAAUGGAGGAAACCAAGUUCGAGAUGGAAUGAUGGGAGUCGAGAAUUCAAGAGAAGUUGUUUGAUCAUCACAAUUCAGACGACGAUACAGAUCCGUGUAGGCCGUCGUCAUCGUCGAAGCUCCAGAGAUCGCCGACCACCUGUUCUUCCGCCGGAUUCGUCACCGUCGACUGGCCGUCGAGGUAAGGAAUCUGGUAGAACUUCAUGAAGUUCUCGUACGCCAUUAACUCUUCGGAAAGCUUCUCCACCUCGUUCUCUUCCUCCGCCGCAGCAACGACGGCGACCUUCUGCUCCGGCUUGUCUUCCACCUCUUUCACACCGAAUUCCACGGCGUUCAUGUUCUGACCAAAACCUAAUCUCUCCGACGGAGAAUAAGAAUUCUCCGAUCCAGAGCCGGAUUGUUCCUCAAUCGCUGCGGGGAUCUGGCUGCCGAUUUGGUUGAGAUCGUAGCGGAAUUCUCCAUACCCGGAAUUUUCAGGAACAGUGUAGAGAUCAGCCCUAAACUGAGGCUGAAAUUGAGGAAUCGCAUUCUGAAGAUUACAGGGAGCUUGAAUGGAAUACUCAUCGUCUUCAUUAGGGAAAUUAACCUUGGCUUUCUUUCCACGGAUCUUCCGAGCUUCUCGAUCGUAAGCUCGAGCGGCUUCCUCAGCCGUAUUAAAAGUCCCAAGCCAGACACGGAUCCCCUUCCUCGGAUCGCGAAUCUCGGCCGCCCAUUUUCCCCAUGGGCGCUGACGAAUUCCUCUGUACAGAUUCUUCCUCUGCCUCUUCUUCGGUUUCUCAUCUGUCCAAGAAGAAGCCUCGGAAGAAGGGAGAGGGCGUUUGAGGGGAGUUGAAUCGCGAUGGGAAGGAAGUUUGUUGAAAUGGAAGAAGGUGUUGUUGGAGUUUGGCCAAAUGUCGGAAGCGGUUACGCGUUGGGCGUCACGGCGAGGGAUUAAGUCGGCGAUGAUGGCACCACCACACAUGACUGAAACAGAGAAUUAGGGAUUUAGAGAAGGAUUUUAGGGUUUAGAGGGAAGUGGGAGAAUUGAAGAAGACAGGAUG